AUUGAACGCUGGCGGCAGGCCUAACACAUGCAAGUCGAGCGGCUGCACGGAGCUUGCCCCUGGGUUCAGCGGCGGACGGGUGAGUAAUUCCUAGGAAUCUGCCUGGUUGUGGGGGAUAACGUCCGGAAACGGGCGCUAAUACCGCAUACGUCCUGCGGGAGAAAGUGGGGGAUCUUCGGACCUCACGCUAUCAGAUGAGCCUAGGUCGGAUUAGCUAGUUGGUGGGGUAAAGGCCUACCAAGGCGACGAUCCGUAACUGGUCUGAGAGGAUGAUCAGCCACACUGGAACUGAGACACGGUCCAGACUCCUACGGGAGGCAGCAGUGGGGAAUAUUGGACAAUGGGCGAAAGCCUGAUCCAGCCAUGCCGCGUGUGUGAAGAAGGUCUUCGGAUUGUAAAGCACUUUAAUUUGGGAGGAAAGGCAGUAAGUUAAUACCUUGCUGUGUUGACGGUACCAAAAGAAUAAGCACCGGCUAACUUCGUG
rnacentral:rRNA from 1 species